GCCUGGGUGGCUCAGUUGGUUGAGCGUCCGACUUUGGCUCAGGUCAUGAUCUCAUGGUUCGUGGGUUUGAGCCCCAUGUUGGGCU
rnacentral:tRNA from 1 species